rfam:Triticum aestivum genome assembly, contig: Triticum_aestivum_CS42_TGACv1_scaffold_593956_7BS
AUUUUACUCCCUCCGUCCGGAAAUACUCGUCGGAGGAAUGGAUGUAUCUAGAUGAAUUUUAGUUCUAGAUACAUUCAUUUUUAUGCAUUUUUGACAAGUAUUUCCAGACGGAGGGAGUACUAG